UUAAUCAAAAAAGUUUUCAUCAAACUGUUUUCUAAUUUUUUUUCUUGAAGUAAGAGCUCCUUCGUACUCAUAAGUUAUUUUCGAUGAUAGAGUUUCUGAAUCGACGAUUCAUUCCGUUAAAUAUGAUCUAGCGUAUUUGAAACUUCUAAAAAAUAAAUUUCAUAUUUUUUUAAAAUCAUAAUAAAGUCCACUAAGCGGGCAUAAAAUGAACAGUCAAAUUCAACUGAUUCCGAUUCUGUUACACCGUUAAACUAGUAUCUCAUAUCGGUCAUUAAAAAUUGAUAAAUUUGAAAUCUUUCGAUCGUAAGGUAAAUAAUGUCAAAAAAUUAUAAAAUUUGAUUUCUAAAAAUUUUAAAUAUUUUGGAUAGCGUUUAACGGUAUGGAUCAUUAAUUCGGAAGCUCUAUUUUCGAAAACGACUUAUGAAUACGAAGGCGGUUGUACUCAUAAGAGUAUAAUAGCCGGACUCUUUGAAGUAAGAUAUGUAUGCUCUAAAUUCUAAACUAAAAAAAAUAUGGAUAUUUGUUAUCUAUUCUGUUGAUGGUCAGUAUCACAUUUAUUAUAGUCCAUCUUGUUUUGUUUUGUUUUUUUUGUUUUUUUUUUUUUUAAGAGCGAUAGAUAGCGCGUUAUCCGUUUCGUUUAUUUUAUUUAGAAAUAAACUUAGCUAGAAAUGUGAAUCAACUAGGAUUUGAAUUUGGGUUUCAGGUACCAAUCACCAAAUCCUUUGCCACUUGCUCUAGGGACGGUACAUUAUAGUCCAUCUUGUUGAUAUUCGCACAUUAAAGCUUUAUAAUUCAACUACUAC
rnacentral:lncRNA from 1 species